rnacentral:rRNA from 1 species
UACGUAGGGUGCGAGCGUUAAUCGGAAUUACUGGGCGUAAAGCGUGCGCAGGCGGUUUUGCAAGCCGGAUGUGAAAUCCCCGGGCUCAACCUGGGAAUGGCAUUCGGGACUGCAAGGCUGGAGUGCGGCAGAGGAGACUGGAAUUCCUGGUGUAGCAGUGAAAUGCGUAGAGAUGUGGAGGAACACCGAAGGCGAAGGCAGUGUCCGGGGGAGUACCUGACGCUCAGGUGCGAAAGCCAGGGGAGCGAACGGG